CAGCCGCCGCGGUAAUGCGUAGGUGGCAAGCGUUGUCCGGAAUUAUUGGGCGUAAAGGGCUCGCAGGCGGUUUCUUAAGUCCGAUGUGAAAGCCCCCGGCUCAACCGGGGAGGGUCAUUGGAAACUGGGAAACUUGAGUGCAGAAGAGGAGAGUGGAAUUCCACGUAUAGCGGUGAAAUGCGUAGAGAUGUGGAGGAACACCAGUGGCGAAGGCGACUCUCUGGUCUGUAACUGACGCUGAGGAGCGAAAGCGUGGGGAGCGAACAGGAUUAGAUACCCCCGUAGUCCCUGUCUCUUAUAC
rnacentral:rRNA from 1 species